CCUACGGGUGGCUGCAGUAGGGAAUAUUGGACAAUGGGCGCAAGCCUGAUCCAGCAAUGCCGCGUGAGUGACGAAGGAUUUCGGUCUGUAAAGCUCUUUUCUGAGGGAAGAACAGGUGGAAGAGGAAAUGCUUCCAUUUUGACGGUACCUCAGGAAUAAGGGACGGCUAACUCCGUGCCAGCAGCCGCGGUAAUACGGAGGUCCCAAGCGUUGUUCGGAAUUACUGGGCGUAAAGGGAGCGCAGGCGGAUAGUUAAGUCUAAAGUGGAAUCCCGG
rnacentral:rRNA from 1 species